rnacentral:lncRNA from 1 species
CAGGACGUCGCCCGGCCGAGCGCCUGCCAGGGCGAUUCGGAGUGGCGGAGACAGAAAGCCCAUGUUAAUAACUAUUCAAUUUUCUAGAUCGAUUCUUCUAAAGCUUAUGCAAAAAAAAAAAAAAGAAGAAGAAGAAAAGAAGAAAAAAGAAAGAACCAACAAUUCUGUUUCUAAGAUUUUAAAGCGAUAGGCCAGUCGGAGACGCCGAGAUUUAUUUGAGGGAAAGCAAGAGUGCGCGAAGCGGACCCAGCGUUUGGAAGACCGGCCCGCUUGCUUGGAUGUUGGACUGUUGAUUUCUCCAAUUAAUGAAAUGCGUUUGGUGUUAAUCAUAUUUAUUUUAUGGAAGGGGGAGACGCUAGGAGGGUGUAUUUAAAAAAAAUCUUAAAAGCCUGCAAAACGAUCGAAGAGUGAAAACUAUUGUUGGAACGAGUUGGUUUUUACCUCAACAGCGCCACCUUUCGGCAAAGGUCAGUUGAAAUUGAUCCGUGUCCAGUUUUGUUGAUGAAAUGAAAAGAAGCUGCUUUCCUAAGGUGGGAGGAGGAGAGAGGCACAAAGUUAGAGAACCGCCCUUGUUAGAAGAAGGGCUGAAAGCAGUGCUGGCAGGUGCGAGAAUCAUUUUUUUUCUCUUUCUCUGUCCCCCUUGUUUGUGGAUAAAGAAGCCAGAGGACACAGGACCCUUCUCAGAGUAAUUCUGGCCGAGAGACUUUUUGCAAGAGGAUCCCGUGUAACAAGCAAAGCCCGAUACCCUUUAAAAAUGCCAGGAUGGAUUUUCAGCGGGCUUUAUGGCAAUAUCAAUAGAAUGAAAGUUACUUGUAAUUCAGUGAUAAAUGAGAUGUCUCUAGUAAGUAAGAUUAAGUGCAGUGCUAUAAAGUUGUUUAUCUGAAAAGUAAUUCUCAGAAAACCUGACUUCUGACACUUAGUCAUAUAUUAAGCCAGCUUCUUGAACAUUGCACUUCAGAAUCCUCUCACCCACCCAACAGCAUAACUUUACUAUUUAUAACGAGACCUUAGGUGUCACUCAUUGGCUCCUUAGACCAGAGUCGUCUUGUGUUAAUUUCUCCCAUGCUGGCAGCCUUGGGUUUUCUGCAACCCUGGGAAUCCCUAACAAGAGACUCCCCAAAAGGUUUACCCUAAAAGGCCAGCACUGUUGGUACUUUCCAGAAAAGCACUUUUUCCUUUCAUCAUUACUGCAGAGAAGCUGUUUAUAGGAGUAGUUUUGGUUUUAUGGGAGUACUUUGUUGGGAUGGAAUGAGGUAUGCUGUUACCAGUUUGGGGAAGAAAGAGUGAAGAUUAUGUCAAUAUUUAUGCAACCUAACAGAAUUCCUUUGCUUUCCUCCCCUCAAACAGUAUUUUACGUAGUAAUGAAGUUAAGGGAUUAUAGCCUAUGUAUUCAGAGGGAAAUUUAACUGCUUCAGUUACACAAACAUAUUAUGUCAUUUAACAGUGUCCAUAGCAAUAAUUUUUCUAAGGCUUGUAAAAAAAAUCAUUAGCCACAAAUGUCUGAAGCUGAUAUUUUUCAUGUAAAAUAUGAAUUUCAGUAUAUUUAGGAAAAAAUCUUUUUUUGUUUAUAAAAAUUUUUUUAUCCUUUUGCAUCAGUUUUGGUACAAGCUGUGAGAUAUAUUUCCUGCCUCUCAUGAAAGUAUUUUUUUUUCAGUCAGGAACACUGAAACAUUCAUAAAUAAACAACAUUUAUAAACAAAGUUCACUAAUGAUGAAGACCAUGGGAUACAGAUUCAUGGCCAUGCACCUAAUUGUUGCAAUUAUGUAUCAUUUCUAGAAAUUAAAAUGCCCAUGUUUGGCCAGCUAAACGUAUUAUUAUCUGCACAUUUUUCUGGUUUAUUUUUGUACACUGCUGUCAAGCCAGGGUAUUUUUCUUUCUCUUAUUGCAGAGUCUUUUAUAGUCUCCUAUUUUCUUUUGGGGAAAAAAAAAAAAUCCAAAUCUUUUUUGUUUUGUUUUGACAUGGAGCAGUGGUCCUCUCAGGCUUAUAACUUAAUUCUCAUUUUUGUCCUUUUUACUUUAUUAUUUAGUGAUUCACAGGGGUGUCUAAACAUUUACAGUUCUCUGUUAGCAGCGUUUCUCUUGUAACAAUGGAGCUCUCUCAUUUUAAUUAGUACUAUUCAGGUUUUUGAGUCUCUACAAUUACAGCAGGCCACAUUGCUCUAAAUUUCUUUGCUAACAUUGUUUGUUUCACUUCUAUCCAAGCCAAUCUAAUCCAAAUACAAUAUGAACUGUGUUUUCUUACUGCUUAAUAUCCCCUUGCUAUAUAUACUCUAGUAAUCUCUGUAGAACAAUAUAGAGUAAUUU